AGUUCGAUCCUGGCUCAGAUUGAACGCUGGCGGGAUAAGCCAUGACAUGCAAGUCGAAGUUCAGCAAUGGACUUCCGGUCUGGUAUGAGUAUGAAUGGGUGAGUAGUCGUAUCGGAACGGUGCCUAGUAGCGUGGGGAUAACUACGCGAAAGCGUGAAGACACUGCAUAUAUUCUUCGGGGAAAGCGGGGACCUUCGGGCCUCGCACUAUUAGAGCGGCCGAUAUCGGAUUAGCUAGUUGGUGGGGUAACGGCUCACCAAGGCGACGAUCCGUAGCUGGUUUGAGAGACGACCAGCCACACUGGGACUGAGACACGGCCCAGACUCCUACGGGAGGCAGCAGUGGGGAAUUUUGGACAAUGGGGAACCCUCGAUCCGCUUCAUCCCGCGUGUGCGAUGAAGGCCUUCGGGUUGUGUGCCACUUUUGGCAGGAAAGAAACGGCAUCGGAUAAUACCCCGUGCAACUGACGGUACCUGCAGAAUAAGUACCAAGCAACUACGCCAGCAGCCGCGGUAAUACGUAGGUGCAAGCGUUAAUCGGAAUUACUGGGCGUAAAAGCGUGCGCAGGCGGUUCGGAAAGAAAGAUGUGAAAUCCCAGAGCUUAACUUUGGAACUGCAUUUUUAACUACCGAGCUAGAGUGUGUCAGAGGGAGUGUGAAUUCCUAGCAGUGAAAUGCGUAGAUAUGCGGAGGAACACCGAUGGCGAAGGCAGCCCCUGGAUAACACUGACGCUCAUGCACGAAAGCGUGGGAGCAAACAGAUUAGAUACCCUGGUAGUCCACGCCCUAAACGAUGUCAACUAGCUGUUGGGGCCUUCGGGCCUUGGUAGCGCAGCUAACGCGUGCAGUUGACCGCCUGGGGAGCAUGGUCGCGCAAGAUUAAAACCUGCCAAAGGAAUUGACGGGGACCUGCACAAGCGGUGGAUGAUGUGGAUUAAUUCGAUGCAAACGCGAAAACCUUACCUACCCUUGACAUGUCUGGAAUCCCGAAGAGAUUUGGGAGUACUCGCAAGAGAACCGAACACAGGUGCUGUAUGGCUGUCGCCGGGGCUCGUGUCGUGAGAUGUUGGGUUAAGUCCCGCAACGAGCGCAACCCUUGUCAUUAUUGCUGCUGAAAGGCAUUUCCGAUGAGAUUCGCCGGGCACAAACCAUGGAAGCGUGGGGAUAUCGUCAAGUCCCUUAUGGCCCUUAUGGGUAGGGCUUCACACGUCAUACAAUGGUCGGGACAGAGUGGUCGCCAACCCGCGAGGGGGAGCCAAUCCCAGAAACCCGAUCGUAGUCCGGAUCGCAGUUCGUAACUCGACUGCGUGAAGUCGGAAUCGCCAGUAAUCGCGGAUCAGCAUGUCGCGGUGAAUACGUUCCCGGGUCUUGUACACACCGCCCGCUAAUUCAUGGGAGUGGGUUUUUACCAGAAGUAGUUAGCCUAACCGUAAGGAGUGGCGAUUACCACGGUAGGAUUCAUGACUGGGGUGAAGUCGUAACAAGGUAG
rnacentral:rRNA from 1 species